GCACAAUUUUAAUUCGCGUGACUUGUUCUUAAAAGUUUUUUUAUGUGUUAAUUAUGAGUUUUUGUUAACUCACGCAACAAUAGAUUCUAUUGCUAACUAACACUAACGUAGAUUGAUUGUUCUUAAUCGCAACUUAAAAACACGGUCACUCACCUGACUUAAGCCGGAAUUUUUUAUCCAUCGUCGUUCGUGUGGUAGUGCGUGUACUGUCGGGAUUUCCCCGUGAAUGUGUGCGAUAAAAAUAAGGCAGCAGAGGAAAAUAAAGUAGUUUCUGUUUGUUUACAAAUAUUUAUUUACGUUUGUAUUUAUUUCUCGACGCAUUCCUGCAGUCGCGUGUUGCACAAAAAUAAUCUCGAAAAAAGUGCACUCGAAAAAAUCGUUCUAAUCCGAUUGAAUUAAUUUUAGAGUGUGCGAAUAUGUGUGCGUUUAAAAUUGAAAAUGUGUGAAUAGUCUCGUUUAUAACGGUGACGUUUGUAUCGUUUUGGUCAUCGUUUGAUCGCCACCCCCUGAAUCCGAAACAGGUGUUUGGGUUGGUGGAAUGUGUGAGGAGUAAGAAGAUUUCGGGUUAGGAGAAGACAGGAUUGUAGAAUAAUAAGAAGAUGCCCUACAGCAAUGGGGCCACGCUGCGCUUCCUGCUGCCGGGGCCCUUCCGGGGAAACGCCCAGGACUGCAACCUGGCGCGGCAAUCUCAGAGUUCCGACUCCGUGUACCGGGACGAGGCGGACGACGUGCUGGGCUCGAUCACACCGCUCGCGUACCGUCCCAUGACCAACGGGAUUAUGGCAGAUGAGGAUGGCGAAGACGACGAUGGGCGGCACCGGAAUGAGUAAGUAUUCGACGACACGAGUCCAGUUCAUCCGAAACAAAAAAAAGUCUCCCCGACAUGGGAGAGAUACUUGGAUCAUGAUUGCUCACCGCCAGCAGCAGAACAUCGACCAGCAUCAACAUCGGAACCGCAACUAGAAGCCGAUGAAGUGGCUCGAACUACAGGUUCAGCUUUUCAGGAACUGCAGAUCAGCGAUGGGUGUGCUGCACUUGAAGGUCUGUUGGUCACGGUUGUUUUUUUUUGAAAUUGCCAUGCCACUGUAAAACCUGGGAGCAAUUCACUAAAUGGAACAGAGUAGUAGUAAAAUUUAUGUUAUUUUCCGAAUUGUUAUAAUUUUCCCAAAAAAACGCUAUUAAAUCAUGAAAAUAUGUUUUUUCGAUUUCCAAUUGCAAUUCUUACCAACAAGAAUCUCUCCAAAAUUUUUCGACCUCUCUUAUUUGUCCUAAGGAAUAAUUUUAGUCCCUUAUCACGAAUUUGAAAUCCAUUUUUCGGCUGGUACGACUAUAUUUAUCUUUUACAUUCGAAAAAGAAAAACAUUUUUUAAAUGUGCAACCUGGAAUGAUGAAUUCAAAAUUUGGUCUCAAGGAGACU